UGCUUCUAAUUGUAUCGUCCCGGCUAG
rnacentral:sRNA from 1 species